CUAGGUAAGUUCUACAGGGGGCUUGAGCCCAGGACCCCGAGAUCAAGACUCUCAUGUUGUACCUACCGAGCCAGCCAGGGGCCCCCUCUGUCUUUUUCUUUCUUUCUUUUUAUUUUUUAAUGUCACAUCUUGGACCCUUCAGCUCUCUUGAAUCCUUUCAUCUGUCCCCCUUCCACGCUGCUACCUCCUCUACCCGUUUCCGUCCCUGCCCGGCCCUUCCCCUCCCACCUCGGCCCCUCGACUCCCGAUCACCACUGGAGCUUUGAGCCUCCUCCCCAUGGUGGGCUCUUGAGGGGCUCGGAGACGCCACAAGCAACCAUCUGGGGGGAAAUGGGCUGCUCGGGAACAGGAAAUGAACGUCACCCGCCAGCCCCUUGUAUUUGCCACACCCAGCGCUUCCUCUCUGAAGCAGGAAGGUUUCAAAGGCCCCAGGACUCUUCACCCCAAUUUCUCCCCUAAAGAAAUCUGUGAAAAAUUAGUCGGUAAAACACAGUAAGCUCACAUUUACCGCCAUUAAGCUUGUACCAGUGUGCAGUUCUGCAGCGCGCAUGUAUUCUGACCGCCGUGCAACGCUUCUCCAGCUCCUGCUCAUCUCGUGACUGAAGAUCUGUACCCACAGCUCUGUGUUUCCUCCCCCUCUGCCCCCACGGCCCCCGCAGUUCUGUUUCUGUAAAUGUGACUACUUUAGAUAGCACAUAUAAGAGGAAUCGUAGGGUACUUGUCUUUCUGUGACUUGCCCAUUUCACUUGGCAGAAGGUCCAGAAUUACCUUCUUUUCUAAGAUUGAGCAACGUCCCGUUGUGUAGCUGCCACACGUUCUUUCUCCAUUCCUCUGUGUGUGGACAUGCGCGUGUUUCUACCUCUCAACUCUGGAGAACAACCCUGCAACGAACGGGAAGUGCAAGUACCCUUCGCAACGUUGCUUCCAAUGCCUACGGAGGUAAAAUCAGGAGUGAGAUGGCUCCAUCAUGCGAAGCGACAAGCUGAGUGUCAUUGUCGGAAAGCAGCAGCUGACGGCCCACUGCCAAUGUGGCCCUUUUGUCCAGAUGAUUCUUCCAGACUCUCUGGGUAUGACCCAAGCCAGUGGGGUCCCAGAAACCUCUACCGAAUUCCAUGUAUCUGAAAGCACGUCCACACGUGGACUCACAGUGUCCGUAUCUUCAAGUUCCAUGAGGAAAGGACACAAAAGAUUCCCAAGACAAAAUGUAGUUUGGAUUCCUUUCAUUCUACUUGGGCCCAUAAAGUAAAGACAUGGAGUAAUCUCCAUUGAACACGGAACACAGAGGAGAAGAAAGGACGCAGGUGGUGAAGAGUGACCCGGCCAGUAACGCUCUGACUCUUCAGCUGCAACAUUUGGGCUGUGCUGACCACCAGCAGGGCCGCCAGCAAACAGCACCGCGGGCUGCAGGACACGAAGGCGCUGCUCCAGGCGGGACCUCGCUCCAGUCCGUGUGCUGUCAGCUGUCCCCCUGCCCACCCGCAUCCACCCCCAUGAGUCUGAGGACCUCCAGGCCCCGGUAGACACUGUGAGGAUCCUGUCCCGCUGGAUGGACGGCCCCCACCUCUCCUUUCUGGCCUCCCGCAUAAGCUGGGACCAAGCCAAACCCGUCCCAGCGUCCCCUCUCCGCACCUGAACUGCACACAGAACUCCAGCGUUCACUUCGGUCCUCACACAGGCUCGGCCUGCACACAUCUCCUUCUAUUAAAGGUCUUUCCCGCCACGUGGUUGCUGCAGCAAGAAUCAUGAGUCACUAUUGAAUCUUUGGUCCCCCCUGCCCCAUGUGCGAUCUGUCAGCCACCCUCUCCAGGUCCCCCACCUGCCCUGACCUUUCUCCUAUUUCUCUCCCUCUUUCUUCUCCACUAUGACCACGAGUCCAAACUGUGGUUUCCUACGUGGACCUGGCAGGAUCUAACCAGUCUUGCAGGGCGUUCAGUCCCUACUGCGGCUGUAACAAGUUACCACAACCUCAGUGGCUUCACACAGCAGGGUUUGUUAACCCUAGUUUUGUAGCUCAGAAGCCUGACACAGUUGGAGCCAUCGGCUUGCCCAAGAUAGUCCCCCAUUUAAAGGCCAGCCUAUUAACAACCUUAAUUCCCCGUUGCCCUGUCCAGCCCCGUAUUCACAGGCUCUGGGGAGCAGGGUGUGGGCAUCCCUGGGGGUCACUCUUCUCCCUACCACACUCAGCUUCCACUGUCUCCUCUCCGGAGUUUUCUCCACCCGGCAAGUGGAGUGAAACUGCUAGAAUAACAUCAUGUAAAUAGAUUGUGUCACUUAUGGAAAACAAAUCAAACAAUAAAGAGUCCCCUUAGACA